UGAUGUAGCGGCGGACGGGUGAGUAACACGUGGGUAACCUGCCUGUAAGACUGGGAUAACUCCGGGAAACCGGGGCUAAUACCGGAUGCUUGAUUGAACCGCAUGGUUCAAUUAUAAAAGGUGGCUUUUAGCUACCACUUACAGAUGGACCCGCGGCGCAUUAGCUAGUUGGUGAGGUAACGGCUCACCAAGGCAACGAUGCGUAGCCGACCUGAGAGGGUGAUCGGCCACACUGGGACUGAUACACGGCCCACACUCCUACGGGAGCAGCAGUGGGAAGA
rnacentral:rRNA from 1 species